CAGCCACAGCAACCAAGCACGCAGAACAAUACGUGGGUGCUGCAGCCAUGAUGGUCUAAGGGUACAAGGAAAGCAAGGUUUGUAAGAUAUCACUUAUUAUAACAAUGAAGAAGUACUUACGUGCAGGAUCUGAAUUUAUGCGGGCAAGGAACGGUUCAAAAGCUGCCUACUUUACAUUAUGCAAUGACUGUCUAGAUCCUGCUACAUUGCACUUGCUUAUGAACAUUGGUUUUGUGCUACCGUGCAAUUCUAGUAGUGGAACUGGGCCGGAAAACCUCCCUGGAGGACUCUUGCGGUCAGGCUGAACAAG
rnacentral:lncRNA from 1 species